rnacentral:rRNA from 1 species
GCCAUGCAUGUGUAAGCAUGAAUCAUUUAAUGGUGAAGCCGCGAAUGGCUCAUUACAACAGCCAUAGUUUAUUAGAUUUCUUUUUUACUUGGAUAACUGUGGUAAUUCUAGAGCUAAUACACGCAGCAAAGCUUCGACCUUACGGAAGGAGCGCAUUUAUUAGAACAAGACCAAUCGUGCUUCGGUACGUAACUUGGUGAAUCUGAAUAACUUAGUCGAUCGCAUGGUCUUGCACCGGCGACGCAUCUUUCAAGUGUCUGCCUUAUCAACUUUCGAUGGUAGUUUAUGCGCCUACCAUGGUUGUAACGGGUAACGGAGAAUCAGGGUUUGAUUCCGGAGAGGGAGCCUGAGAAAUGGCUACCACAUCCAAGGAAGGCAGCAGGCACGCAAAUUACCCACUCCCGGCACGGGGAGGUAGUGACGAAAAAUAACGAGGUGUUCCUCUACGAGGCACACCAUCGGAAUGGGUACAAUCUAAAUCCUUUAACGAGGAUCUAUUGGAGGGCAAGUCUGGUGCCAGCAGCCGCGGUAAUUCCAGCUCCAAUAGCGUAUAUUAAAGUUGUUGCGGUUAAAAAGCUCGUAGUUGGAUCUGCGGUUCAGGAGGGCGGUCCCCCAAAUGGGUGUGUACUGCUUUUUCCUGACCUAAUUCUUCUGGUUGGUCCUUGUUGCUCUUGACUGAGUGGCUUGGAUGGCUAGAACAUUUACUUUGAAAAAAUUAGAGUGCUCAAAGCAGACGAUUUGUCUGAAUACCGGUGCAUGGAAUAAUGGAAUAGGACCUCGGCCCUACUUCUGUUGGUCUCUUAAGAGCUCGAGGUAAUGAUUACAAGGGACAGACGGGCGCAUUCGUAUUCCGACGUUAGAGGUGAAAUUCUUGGAUCGUCGGAAGACGAACUAUUGCGAAAGCAUUUGCGAAGAAUGUUUUCAUUAAUCAAGAACG